rnacentral:rRNA from 1 species
AGUGAACGCUGGCGGUAGGCCUAACACAUGCAAGUCGAACGGCAGCACAGUAAGAGCUUGCUCUUACGGGUGGCGAGUGGCGGACGGGUGACGAAUACAUCGGAAUCUACUUUUUCGUGGGGGAUAACGUAGGGAAACUUACGCUAAUACCGCAUACGACCUACGGGUGAAAGCAGGGGAUCUUCGGACCUUGCGCGAUUGAAUGAGCCGAUGUCGGAUUAGCUAGUUGGCGGGGUAAAGGCCCACCAAGGCGACGAUCCGUAGCUGGUCUGAGAGGAUGAUCAGCCACACUGGAACUGAGACACGGUCCAGACUCCUACGGGAGGCAGCAGUGGGGAAUAUUGGACAAUGGGCGCAAGCCUGAUCCAGCCAUACCGCGUGGGUGAAGAAGGCCUUCGGGUUGUAAAGCCCUUUUGUUGGGAAAGAAAAGCAGCAGGAUAAUACCCCGCUGUUCUGACGGUACCCAAAGAAUAAGCACCGGCUAACUUCGUG